AGGCGCCGCGCUGGCAGCACCGCGGUCAGGGCGAGGAAGCUGCCGGCGAGGUGAGGUGACUGUCGCGGAGGUGGCCAGGAGCCCUGAAAGACUUGUGCCUUGGACACAGCAAAAUCUGCAGGUUGCAGAAAGUCUCAACUGCGGUUACAUUACAAGAUGAAGAAGGGGAAACGUUUUCCACCUCAUCCCUCAGGUCCUACUGCAACAUAACUUUCUUGAGGUAAGUACCUUUCCUUUGUGUUUCCUUAAUACUCUCUAUUUCCCCCAUCACAUACACUAAAAAGGUUAUCUUUGGUGCAUCUGUAUUU
rnacentral:lncRNA from 1 species